UUCAUCUUCGUCGCCGCCAAACUGAUCUCAGAUACUUCUUCUUCUUCAUCACAGAUCCUUUUUGACUGUUCAAGCCAAAUCUGUAAAAAUGCAGAACGAAGAAGGUCAGUUCACAGAGCUCUACGUUCCAAGAAAAUGCUCGGCAACAAACAGAUUGAUCACAUCAAAGGAUCAUGCUUCUGUUCAGCUUAACAUUGGUCACCUUGAUGCUG